rnacentral:rRNA from 1 species
CGGAGGGUGCGAGCGUUAAUCGGAAUAACUGGGCGUAAAGGGCACGCAGGCGGACUUUUAAGUGAGGUGUGAAAGCCCCGGGCUUAACCUGGGAAUUGCAUUUCAGACUGGGAGUCUAGAGUACUUUAGGGAGGGUAGAAUUCCACGUGUAGCGGUGAAAUGCGUAGAGAUGUGGAGGAAUACCGAAGGCGAAGGCAGCCCCUUGGGAAUGUACUGACGCUCAUGUGCGAAAGCGUGGGGAGCAAACAGGAUU